rnacentral:lncRNA from 1 species
GUUUCGGUUUCUCUUUGCUGCUUGCUGUACAGACUGCUAUCACGCUGGCUGGCUAGGUCGCUCUGCCGGGAUUAAGGAGUUAUGGUACCACAGCCAAUCUUUCCAGGGUUCAGUUUGUAAACCUAUGCUGGAGCCCGUGGCUGAGGCCUGGGACACCCGGGCCUCUCCGCAGGCUGCAUACAUUCCCCGUUACUUGCCCGUCCAGCUAAUGACACUGGGGAUCUCUGCUUGACCUCCGGGCAUCAUGGAGCUCACAUCUGGAGAUCAGAUCAGAAAAUGACGGAGGAGGAAGCUCCUGAAGAGACGUAUGGCUGAGCUGCGGCGCUGUGGUUUGCCAUGAGUGCUGACUUGGAGAAACAUCGCCUGCACAAUGCCAGUUCGUGUUCUGUGAAGCGAGAUGGCUAGGCUGGCUUCACAGAACAGGGAGGGGUCAUACCUAGUCCCGAUAUUCUUUGAUAAUUGCCUGCUGAAGAGCAUGUUUUCCUGAGUCCAUUUCUCCACCGAGUUGGGAAACUCCUGGACUUCCUGCUUUCAUCCCUUCCUUUGUUAGAGAAAUCACCCUGGCUCCAGCUGUUGGUCUGAAUCUCUCGGUUAUAUUUGGAGACCAAGACAUGAUCAGGCCAUGCAACUGUGGGGAGUGAGUGAUGUCUUUUGGGAUCAAAGUUUUUGUUGUUGUUGUUUUGUUUUUUCCUGUGCAUCCAAUUUCCCCAGCCGUUUCACUAAGUGGCUUUAGCUGUACAGUUACUGGUCAUCUUGUCCAGCGUUAGUAAUUGAGAACACUUGUGCCUCAGAGUGUGCACGCCUGCAGUCAAUGCCCUCAAGUCCCCUAGUCUUUGUUCCCUUCCGCUAAUGCACACAAGGUCACGAGUGUAACCUGGCCUUCAGGUUGACCAGAUGACUUGGAUAGCUUUGCCAUACCAGGCCCAGCUUUGCUCUGUCAAGGAAGAGCCUGAAACAGGAGUAGGCGGGCAGCUAGCUGGCUGUCUCACUUCUGCACUCAGCACAGCAAGCAUUUUUACGUCAUCUAUUUAUCCUUCACAACUUUUCAGUGUUUAUGGAUGUUCACACUUUAAAGAUUUAUAUGUUUUUUAUUUUAUGUAUAUGAGUUUGUAUAUUAUGGAUACCGUGUUCAUGCAGUGCCUUUGUAGGGCAAAAGAGGGAGUCACGGAGUGCUGUGAGCCACCGUGUGAGCGCUGAGAACUUAACCCUGGUCCUCUGCGAGCAAGAGCAGCCAACACUUUCAACAACCGAGCAAUCCUCCAGCCCUGGAUGUUUGCACAUUAGAGAGUGAUUUAUGAGACUUUUAAUGGUUUAGUCAGACUUGGAGUUGCUAUGACAACGCCCCUGACAGAUACACAUGGAGGAGGAAGUGGUUAUUUUGGCUCACAGUUGCAGGGGAUUCAGUCCACAGUCACUUGGCCAGAUGUGAGGAGCCGGGAGAGCCCAUGGCAGUUAGAGCCAUGAAGGGAGACACUGUUUACCUUAUGGAGGACAGGAAGCAGGAAGUGAUGGAGGAAGUAGAAGAAAAAAAAGGGAAGAAAGGGGAGGAGGAGGAGCCCUGAACAAGAUUCAGCCCUCUUGAACUGGUGUGGUGGCGCACGCCUUUCACCUCGGCACUCUGGAGGCAGAGGCAAGCAGAUCUCUGUGAGGUCAAGGCCAACCUGGGCUACACACAUAAUUCUGGGCCAGUGGCAUGGUGGGCAUAGGGAGACUCGUUUCAAAACAAAAACAGAAAGGAAGGAAGAAAGAAAGAAAGAGAGAGAGAGAGAGAAAGAGAGAGAGAGAGAGAGAGAGAGAGAAAGAAAGGGAAGGACAGAGGGAAGAAGGAAGCCCCACAAACAUGUCCCCAGUGACCCACUCCCUCCAACCAGACUCUAUCUCCUAAAGUUUCCAGAACUUUCCAACACAGUACAACAAGCUAGGAACCAAGCAUUAAAUACAUGAGCCUAUGGAGGGCAUUUCAGAUUCAAACCAUAACAAUAAAU